rnacentral:sRNA from 1 species
AAAGAAGAGAAAUAUUCUUCAAUAGAAAUUUUUAUCUGGAAAUAGUACGAUUGAGCAAGGGUAGUAAUAUAUGCGUGGAGUAAUUCCACCACUGGAGGAAAUAGUAUGACUGAAGGUACAGUAAAAUGGUUUAAUGCAGAAAAAGGUUUCGGUUUCAUCGAAAUUGAAGGCGGAGAAGAUGUAUUCGUACAUUUCAGCGCAAUUCAAGGCGACGGAUUCAAAUCUUUAGAUGAAGGUCAAAAAGUGACUUUCGACAUCGAGCAAGGUCAACGCGGUGCACAAGCUGCUAACGUUGUAAAAGCAUAAUUUUAUGCAAUCCAAAAAAGACUCCGACUUUGGACGGGGUCUUUUUU